ACGCUGGCGGCGUGCCUAACACAUGCAAGUCGAGCGAGAAAUAAAGGAAUGAAGCUUCGGUAGAUUUUCUUUAUGGAAAGCGGCGGACGGGUGAGUAACGCGUAGGCAACCUGCCCUGUACAGGGGGAUAGCCACCCGAAAAGGUGAUUAAUACCCCAUAACGCAAGAGAUACACAUGUAUCACUUGUCAAAGAUUUAUCGGUAUAGGAUGGGCCUGCGUCUGAUUAGCUAGUUGAUAGGGUAACGGCUUACCAAGGCAACGAUCAGUAGCCGACCUGAGAGGGUGAUCGGCCACAUUGGAACUGAGACACGGUCCAAACUCCUACGGGAGGCAGCAGUGGGGAAUAUUGCACAAUGGGCGCAAGCCUGAUGCAGCAACGCCGCGUGAAGGAUGAAGGCCUUCGGGUUGUAAACUUCUGUCCUAGGGGAAGAAACAAAUGACAUUACCCUUGGAGGAAGCCCCGGCUAACUACGUGCCAGCAGCCGCGGUAAUACGUAGGGGGCGAGCGUUAUCCGGAAUUAUUGGGCGUAAAGAGUGCGUAGGUGGCACCUUAAGCGCAGGGUUUAAGGCAAUGGCUCAACCAUUGUUCGCCUUGCGAACUGGGGUGCUUGAGUGCAGGAGGGGAAAGUGGAAUUCCUAGUGUAGCGGUGAAAUGCGUAGAUAUUAGGAGGAACACCAGUGGCGAAGGCGACUUUCUGGACUGUUACUGACACUGAGGCACGAAAGCGUGGGGAGCAAACAGGAUUAGAUACCCUGGUAGUCCACGCCGUAAACGAUGAGCACUAGGUGUCGGGGUCGCAAGACUUCGGUGCCGCAGUUAACGCAUUAAGUGCUCCGCCUGGGGAGUACGCACGCAAGUGUAAAACUCAAAGGAAUUGACGGGGACCCGCACAAGCAGCGGAGCAUGUGGUUUAAUU
rnacentral:rRNA from 1 species